rnacentral:lncRNA from 1 species
CAGUGGAGACCCGAAGGUUCCCACACAGAACUCGAGAUUCACUGUCAGAGCUCAGGGCCACUGUGCGGUGGGCGGGGUCCCCUGGAGCCCUGGAAGGAAUUCGCUGUUCAGAUCUCCUUCCUGCCAGCAGCGGCGGAGGAUUUGCUGCCCGAGCCGGCUCGCCCCAAACACGCCUUUCGUGUCGUGGGGCUCUUGACGCUGUUCAGCACCCGCCCUCCUGGGUCCCCCAGUCCCCAUUUACCCACUCAUUCCUGCGCCCAUACGAGGAUUAAGGCCGUUUUGUGCCCAGUGCCACUGAGGACCCCUGGAGACAGUGAGCACACGGGGACGGGAGUCGCCCCCCGGGGAACGCUGGACGCCUGCCUGCUGAGAGGCCCCGGGGCUCCCUCAGCUCCUGUGCUCCUCCCGUCCCUGCAUCGAGGAUCGGCUUCUCCCACCGCUCACACGCUCCAAUGGCUCUCCCAGGUGUAGACAGGAAUUUGAAGGCUGUUAGGGCCGGGGAUUUAGCUCAGUGGUUCUGGCGCCUGCCUCGAA